UGGCUUAUUGAAGGAGGCUGUUUCUUUGAUGGCAGUAGCUGGACGCCUUCAUUCUGAUGGGUGUCUUCUGUCUUCCUGCCCGGGGUAAGUUGAGGAGUCCUCAAUCGUUGAAACAUUUCUUCAUGUUUUUCAAAGUUGGGCUUCCUAGGGUUCUCCCUCUUGUGAGUAGGGGGAAACAUCAGGCUUUGGCUCUUGCAUGAGCUUUGACAGUUUGGAUUCCUGGGCUCCUUGUGCCCCAGGUUGCUCCUUCUGGCUGCCAUGAGGUCACGUAGCUCCUGGGAAGCCCGCAUGUUCCCAGUAGGCAUGCUCUGGAGAUGGCCCUGGGGCACUUGAGAAGCCAAAUUCUCUGAAGCAUGGGGCAGAACAGAUGCUUGCCUAUCUGGAAGGAGCACAACAGCGGUGGAAACUUGAGGCUGGGUCUCUGACUUCGUGGCCAUUCCAGGCUCAAAUUCACUAACAACCUCCUCCAUAAGACACAGCUUUCUUGGAUCUUGGGAGACAGACAUUCUAGGGAGUACAGAGAUUUUGCUGGCCCCUGGAGCCUCAAAACCACGCACAUCCUCACUUGUGGCUUGGAGGUUUGCCAUCAUACAGGUUGCCAAGGGGACUCUGGGUUGUGGCACUGCCUCCCUGGUCUCUCCAGCCCUUGAAGAUUGGGCUCCUAAGCUCCUGCUCUGCUGGGUGCUGCCUGUGAGACUGUAUGUGAGGGGCUUAGAUGGCCAACUGCCCUCCUGUCCAGCUGUAGGAGCCUUCAAGGACCCAUGAUCAUUCCAAGAUGGGAUCCCUCGCGGGGCCCUCUGGAACUGCUUACAUGCAGGUGAGGAGGCCUGAAGCCUCUCUGGCAUGUGAACAGAUGCUUUGGUCAGCACCUGCUUUCUCAGACUUGCCAUUGGUGGCUCUCUAAGGAACGUGGCCACCUCAACUUUUGAGCCAGCCCCAGAUUCACAGGUGGCUGAGGAGGGACCGGCAAGCUGUAUCAGGGACAAGGAUGAAACCUUUUCCAGUUUAAAGCACUGAAUGGGCUUGAGGACCCUGAGGGGUAGACUCCACCUGUGUUUGGCCCAAAACCUCACAAUAUGGGCUCCCAGCAUCUGCUGAGUACAUGGCUCAAGGAAGGAAAGCACCUGGGCUGUGUUCACACAGGCUUUCCCACUUUUCAGGGCUGCUAGAUUGCUGGUUUUCACGUGGGUGUCAGACACGGGAAAAGCCUGGUUGACAGCAAGCCAGGAUUGAUGCACACUCACAGGGAUCAAGCCCUCAUUGGUCUGGCCCAACUUCCUGCCCAUGUGGGCUUUCAGGAUGUUUUCUGUAUGAUUCCUCUCUGUGCAUCUUAAUAAAUCACUUCCCGAGUCACUCCUCAA
rnacentral:lncRNA from 1 species